rnacentral:rRNA from 1 species
UCCAGCUCCAAUAGCGUAUAUUAAAGUUGUUGCGGUCAAAAAGCUCGUAGUUGGAGUUCUGCCAGGUGGCGCUCGUCCGCCCAAGUGGUGUGUACUAGUGUCAUCUCUUGCCAUCCUUGAGGAGAGCGUCUCUGGCAUUAAGUUGUCGGAGUCGGGACCCUCAUCCUUUACUGUGAAAAAAUUAGAGUGUUUAAAGCAGGCUUAGGCCGUUGAAUACAUUAGCAUGGAAUAAUAAGAUAGGACUUUGGUGGUCUAUUUUGUUGGUUUGCACACCAAGGUAAUGAUUAAUAGGGACAGUUGGGGGUAUCCGUAUUUCGUAGUCAGAGGUGAAAUUCUUGGAUUUACGAAAGACGAACUACUGCGAAAGCAUUUACCAAGGAUGUUUUCAUCA